AGGCUCCUGCUCAUUCCCUUUUAUCUCUCUCUCCCUCUCUGCUCUCACCCACGUUUCUUCCUUCCUUCUUUAUCUCUCUCUCCCUCCCUGUUUACUCUUCAACAAAACCCUCUCGACCACCGCCAUCGUGACCACCUCUCUUCUCCCUCGCAGGACCCUCUCUGUUUCUCCUUCUUCGACAGAUCCCUCGACCACCGCCAUCAUGACAGCUUCUCCCUCAUCCCCCUUUAUCACUUCAGUCCUUUCCUCCUCGCAACAGAUCUCGCCGAAACCCUCUUUGCCUCUUUGCUACCGAUGCUUGGCAAGAAGUGGCCACCACCGUUCAAUCAACACGACCACCAGUCACUGCAGUGGAUAGUGGAAGGAGAGUUCUGCAAUUUCUAGGAUUGGAUGAUGAGGAAAAGAGCUCUGUUGGGUUUGAUCUCCUCACAUUGUGAAACUAAAGACUGAGGUUGUUAUAGCCAAUUCAAAGGUUAUCAAAGAGACAACUUUUUUCUUGGUCAGUAAAUCUUUCUCUUGCUCUUUAUGUCAGUUGAUCUUCUACUAUGUGAUAUAUCAUAGUUUCUUGAGUGGAAGCCACAAUGAUGAACUUUGACAACUCCUUUUGGCCCUAAAUAUAAAUUGACAUUGUAACUGUGUAUUGAAAUGUGUAUAUUGAAAUUUCUGACUAUAGGGGCGAAGUUUCAAGAUAAAAAAAAUGUACCCAUGUGUGCUCCCUACCACAGUAGGGACUGUGUGUACUGAAAUUUUUUUCCUGAGUUGGCAUAUCUAAGUUUAUACUUAAAAGAAA